rnacentral:lncRNA from 1 species
UUGGAACGGGAAGGAAUUCCUCGUAGACGGGAUGGUUGUGAGCGGGACAGAAACUCCACCACAAGGGUUCUGGGGGAGACGACGAGAAAGAGAACAGACCACCUGUCCAGAUAAUUUGCCUUUGGAGUCUGCAGGGCUGGUGAAGGCAUCCUGAGAUGGGGGAGGCCCCUGGGGACCUCCACAGUCAGGGCUCCCACCUCCUCUCCCACACCGCUCUGCCUCAUGCCCUGGGUUGCCUGUCUGACUGUCUCAAGACUGGGGGUUCUCCGGUGAGCAGAUGGCUGCUUAGCGUCUGAGGGGCAGACACCAUGCCGUGG